rnacentral:rRNA from 1 species
CGGAAUGAGUAGCGCGAAUGCAGUGAGAAUCUGCAUGGCCGAAAGCCUCAGGUUUUUGGAGGAAGGUUCGUCCGCUCCAAGUUAGUCGGGAGCUAAGGUGAGGCCGAAAGGCGUAGCCGAUGCACAGACGGUAGAGAUUCCGUCACCACCAAAAGAGUUAAGCACAGGGACACAUAUGAAGUCUCAGAGCCGGGUGUUGGUUCCGGUAGAGAUCGAGGGAAAUUAGUACCGAAGUCUGAGAUGGAAGAUGGCGAGAAAAGCUGUGUGUAUUUCUGAGGUGCCCGUACCGCAAACCGACACAGGUAGGUAGGAAGAAGAUUCUAAGGCCAACGGGAGAAGGGUUGUUAAGGAACUCGGCAAAUUGACCCCGUAACUUCGGGAGAAGGGGUGCUCCAGAGAUGGAGCCGCAGAGAAUCGGCCCAAGCAACUGUUUACCAAAAACACAGGUUUGUGCUAAAUCGAAAGAUGACGUAUACGAGCUGACGCCUGCCCGGUGCUGGAAGGUUAAGAGGAGAUGUGCAAGCAUUGAAUCGAAGCCCCAGUGAACGGCGGCCGUAACUAUAACGGUCCUAAGGUAGCGAAAUUCCUUGUCAGGUAAGUUCUGACCCGCAUGAAAGGCGUAAUGAUUUGGGCACUGUCUCAACAGCCCGCCCGGCGAAAUUGUAGUACCGGUGAAGAUGCCGGUUACCCGCGACAAGACGGAAAGACCCCAUGGAGCUUUACUGUAGCCUAAUAUUGGGUUUCGAUGUUGCAUGCACAGGAUAGAUGGGACACUGGGAAGCAGGUGCUUUGGCGCUUGUGGAGUGGCCGUUGGGAUACCAUCCUUGCGAUAUUGGAAUUCUAACCUGCGGCUCUGAAUCGAGUCGGGGGACAUUGUUAGGUGGGCAGUUUGACUGGGGCGGUCGCCUCCUAAAGAGUAACGGAGGCGUUCAAAGGUUCGCUCAGCUUGAACGGAAAUCAAGCAAAAGAGUGCAAACGCAGAAGCGAGCCUAACUGCGAGACUGACGGGUCGAGCAGUAACGAAAGUUGGAGUUAGUGAUCCGGUGGUAUGUGAGUGGAAAUGCCAUCGCUCAACGGAUAAAAGUUACCCUGGGGAUAACAGGCUGAUCUCCCCCAAGAGUCCACAUCGACGGGGAGGUUUGGCACCUCGAUGUCGGCUCAUCGCAUCCUGGGGCUGUAGUAGGUCCCAAG